UACGUAGGUGGCGAGCGUUAUCCGGAUUUACUGGGUGUAAAGGGAGCGCAGGCGGGUAGGCAAGUCAGCGGUGAAAUACAUGGGCUUAACCCAUGAACUGCCGUUGAAACUGUUUAUCUUGAGUGAAGUAGAGGCAGGCGGAAUUCCGAGUGUAGCGGUGAAAUGCGUAGAUAUUCGGAGGAACACCAGUGGCGAAGGCGGCCUGCUGGGCUUUUACUGACGCUGAGGCUCGAAAGUGUGGGGAG
rnacentral:rRNA from 1 species